rnacentral:tRNA from 1 species
GCUGUGGCUCUGUGGUAGUAUGGGUGCUUUGCAUGCACAAGGUCCCAGGUUCAAUUCCUGGCAUAUCCA